rnacentral:rRNA from 1 species
GGCUCAGGAUGAACGCUGGCGGCGUGCCUAAUACAUGCAAGUCGAGCGAACGGACGAGAAGCUUGCUUCUCUGAUGUUAGCGGCGGACGGGUGAGUAACACGUGGAUAACCUACCUAUAAGACUGGGAUAACUUCGGGAAACCGGAGCUAAUACCGGAUAAUAUUUUGAACCGCAUGGUUCAAAAGUGAAAGACGGUCUUGCUGUCACUUAUAGAUGGAUCCGCGCUGCAUUAGCUAGUUGGUAAGGUAACGGCUUACCAAGGCAACGAUGCAUAGCCGACCUGAGAGGGUGAUCGGCCACACUGGAACUGAGACACGGUCCAGACUCCUACGGGAGGCAGCAGUAGGGAAUCUUCCGCAAUGGGCGAAAGCCUGACGGAGCAACGCCGCGUGAGUGAUGAAGGUCUUCGGAUCGUAAAACUCUGUUAUUAGGGAAGAACAUAUGUGUAAGUAACUGUGCACAUCUUGACGGUACCUAAUCAGAAAGCCACGGCUAACUACGUGCCAGCAGCCGCGGUAAUACGUAGGUGGCAAGCGUUAUCCGGAAUUAUUGGGCGUAAAGCGCGCGUAGGCGGUUUUUUAAGUCUGAUGUGAAAGCCCACGGCUCAACCGUGGAGGGUCAUUGGAAACUGGAAAACUUGAGUGCAGAAGAGGAAAGUGGAAUUCCAUGUGUAGCGGUGAAAUGCGCAGAGAUAUGGAGGAACACCAGUGGCGAAGGCGACUUUC